rfam:Martelella mediterranea DSM 17316 strain MACL11, complete genome.
GCCCAGAUAGCUCAGUUGGUAGAGCAGCGGAUUGAAAAUCCGCGUGUCCGUGGUUCGAAUCCGCGUCUGGGCA